GAAUCCCGAGUGGGAGAGACCCGCCGCGUCAGGCGGGCGCCGAAGGAGCAACCACCCCCGGAAGCUUUCCGGCACAGCUACCGCUCGGCGGAG
rnacentral:ncRNA from 2 species